AACUUGCCUUACAGACUGGGCACAACAUUUGGCAAACGAAUGCUAAUACCGGAUAUUAUGACUGAGUCGCAUGAUUUGGUUAUGAAAGCUAUAUGCGCUGUGAGAGAGCUUUGCGUCCCAUUAGUUAGUUGGUGAGGUAACGGCUCACCAAGACGAUGAUGGGUAGCCGGCCUGAGAGGGUGAACGGCCACAAGGGGACUGAGACACGGCCCUUACUCCUACGGGAGGCAGCAAGUGGGGAAUAUUGGACAAUGGACCAAAAGUCUGAUCCAGCAAUUCUGUGUGCACGAUGAAGUUUUUCGGAAUGUAAAGUGCUUUCAGUUGGGAAGAAGUCAGUGACGGUACCAACAGAAGAAGCGACGGCUAAAUACGUGCCAGCAGCCGCGGUAAUACGUAUGUCGCAAGCGUUAUCCGGAUUUAUUGGGCGUAAAGCGCGUCUAGGCGGUUUAGUAAGUCUGAUGUGAAAAUGCGGGGCUCAACCCCGUAUUGCGUUGGAAACUGCUAAACUAGAGUACUGGAGAGGUAGGCGGAACUACAAGUGUAGAGGUGAAAUUCGUAGAUAUUUGUAGGAAUGCCGAUGGGGAAGCCAGCCUACUGGACAGAUACUGACGCUAAAGCGCGAAAGCGUGGGUAGCAAACAGGAUUAGAUACCCUGGUAGUCCACGCCGUAAACGAUGAUUACUAGGUGUUGGGGGUCGAACCUCAGCGCCCAAGCUAACGCGAUAAGUAAUCCGCCUGGGGAGUACGUACGCAAGUAUG
rnacentral:rRNA from 1 species